GAUGAACGCUGGCGGCGUGCUUAACACAUGCAAGUCGAACGGUGAAGGCGGAGCUUGCUCUGCUGGAUCAGUGGCGAACGGGUGAGUAACACGUGAGCAAUCUGCCCCUGACUCUGGGAUAAGCGCUGGAAACGGCGUCUAAUACUGGAUACGAGCUGCGAAGGCAUCUUCAGCAGCUGGAAAGAAGUUCGGUCAGGGAUGAGCUCGCGGCCUAUCAGCUUGUUGGUGAGGUAAUGGCUCACCAAGGCGUCGACGGGUAGCCGGCCUGAGAGGGUGACCGGCCACACUGGGACUGAGACACGGCCCAGACUCCUACGGGAGGCAGCAGUGGGGAAUAUUGCACAAUGGGCGAAAGCCUGAUGCAGCAACGCCGCGUGAGGGAAGACGGCCUUCGGGUUGUAAACCUCUUUUAGCAGGGAAGAAGCGAAAGUGACGGUACCUGCAGAAAAAGCGCCGGCUAACUACGUG
rnacentral:rRNA from 1 species